AGAGUUUGAUCCUGGCUCAGGAUGAACGCUGGCGGCGUGCUUAACACAUGCAAGUCGAACGAUUAAACCGCCCUCGGGCGGACAUAGAGUGGCGAACGGGUGAGUAACACGUGACCAACCUGCCCCGCGCUCCGGGACAACCGCUGGAAACGGCGGCUAAUACCGGAUACUCCGGGAGGGCCCCAUGGCCCUGCCGGGAAAGCCGAGACGGCGCGGGAUGGGGUCGCGGCCCAUUAGGUAGACGGCGGGGUAACGGCCCACCGUGCCCGCGAUGGGUAGCCGGACUGAGAGGUCGACCGGCCACAUUGGGACUGAGAUACGGCCCAGACUCCUACGGGAGGCAGCAGUGGGGAAUUUUGCGCAAUGGGGGAAACCCUGACGCAGCAACGCCGCGUGCGGGACGAAGGCCCUCGGGUUGUAAACCGCUUUCAGCAGGGAAGAUCCAAGACGGUACCUGCAGAAGAAGCUCCGGCUAACUACGUGCCAGCAGCCGCGGUAAUACGUAGGGGGCGAGCGUUAUCCGGAAUGAUUGGGCGUAAAGGGUGCGCAGGCGGUCCUGCAAGUCUGGAGUGAAACGCAUGAGCUCAACUCAUGCAUGGCUUUGGAAACUGGAGGACUGGAGAGCAGGAGAGGGCGGUGGAACUCCAUGUGUAGCGGUAAAAUGCGUAGAUAUAUGGAAGAACACCAGUGGCGAAGGCGGCCGCCUGGCCUGUUGCUGACGCUGAGGCACGAAAGCGUGGGGAGCAAAUAGGAUUAGAUACCCUAGUAGUCCACGCCGUAAACGAUGAGGACCAAGUGUUGGGGGUGAAACCUCAGUGCUGAAGUUAACGCAGUGAGUCCUCCGCCUGGGGAGUAUGCACGCAAGUGUGAAACUCAAAGGAAUUGACGGGGGCCCGCACAAGCGGUGGAGUAUGUGGUUUAAUUCGAAGCAACGCGAAGAACCUUACCAGGCCUUGACAUGGGAUGCGAAGAUGCAGAGAUGCAUCGGAGGUCAACAUCCACACAGGUGGUGCAUGGUUGUCGUCAGCUCGUGUCGUGAGAUGUUGGGUCAAGUCCCGCAACGAGCGCAACCCUUGUGGCAUGUUGCUAACAGGAAAAGCUGAGGACUCAUGCCAGACUGCCGGUGACAAACCGGAGGAAGGCGGGGAUGACGUCAAAUCAUCAUGCCCCUUAUGGCCUGGGCUACACACGUACUACAAUGGCGGCUACAAAGAGCAGCGAGACAGGGAUGUCGAGCGAAUCUCAUAAAAGCCGUCCCAGUUCGGAUUGGAGGCUGCAACCCGCCUCCAUGAAGUUGGAAUCGCUAGUAAUCGCGGAUCAGCAUGCCGCGGUGAAUACGUUCCCGGGCCUUGCACACACCGCCCGUCAAG
rnacentral:rRNA from 1 species